rnacentral:lncRNA from 10 species
CUGGAGUGCAGUGGUGUGAUCUCGGCUCACUGCAACCUCCGCCUCCCAGGUUCAAGCAAUUCCCCCUGCCUCAGCCUCCCAAGUAGCCAGUACUAUAGGCCUGCACCACCAUGGCCAGCUAAUUUUUUGUAUUUUAGUAGAGACGGGGUUUCACCACAUUGGCCAGGAUGGUCUCGAUCUCCUGACCUCAUGAUCCGCCCACCUUGGCCUCCCAAAGUGCUGGGAUUACAGACAUGAGCCACUGUGCCUGGCCUUAAUGGGGUCAAUUAUUUAAGAGGAUCCAACAAGUUGUGUGUGCAUGUGUGUGUGUGUGCCAACAGUGGACUACCUAAAAUUAUGCAAAGCAAAUAUUAACAGAUCUGAAAGGAGAAAUAGCAGUAGAAUUAAUAGGGGAUUUCAGUACCCCACUUGCAACAAUUGAUAGAACAUCCAGCCAAAAUCAAUAAGGAAACAUUGGAUUUGAAUUACACCUUAGACCACAUGGACUUAAUGGACAUAUAUUGAAUAUUCCAUCCAAUAGCAACAGAGUACACAUUUUCCUCAAGUACACAUGGAACAUUCUCCAGGAUGGGUCAUAUGUUAGGCCCAAAAGAAUGUCUUUAAAAUACAUUUAAAUAAGAAAUACAAUUGAAAUAAUCAUAUAUUCCUUAAGACAUAAUAUCAUAUUAAGCAACUUCUCUGAUGCUUACAAUGAUAGGAAAUUACACAAUUACAUAUUAUUUCACAAUGAUAUGAAAUUACCCACCAAUAGAAAGAAAACUGGAAAAUUCAAAAAUAUGUAGAAAUUAAACAACAGAUUCUGAACAACUAGUGAGUCGAAGAAAUCAAACAGGAAAUCAAAAAAUAUUUUGGGACAAAUGAAAAUAGAAAUACUUUCUAUUUCCAUUACCAUAUCAAAACUGAUGGAAUGCAGCAAAAACAGUUCAAGGAGGGAAAUUAUAACAAUAAAUGGCCACAUGAAGAAAUAUCUUAAAUAAAUCACCUAACUUUACACCUGAAGGAACUAGACAAAGAAGAACAAAUUAAGCCCAAAAUUAGUAGAAGGAAGUAAAUGACAAAGAUGAGAACAGAAAUAAAUGAAAUAUAGACUAGAAAAAUAAUAGAAAAGAUCAGUGAAACUAGGAGUUGUAUUUUUUGAAAAGAAAAACAAAAUUGAUGAACCUUAGAGUAAGAAAAAGAGAAGUCUCAAAUGAAAUUGUAAAUGAAAGAGGAGAUAUUACAACUGAUACCACAGAAAUACAAAGAAUCAUGAGACUAUUAUGAACAAUUGUACUUCAACAAACUGGAUAACCUAGAAAUUGAUAAAUUUCUAUAAACAUACAACCUACCAAGACUGAGUCAUGAAGAGAUAGAAAAUCUGAGUAUACCAAUAACAAGUAAGUAGAUUGUAUCAGUAAUCAAAAAUUGUCCGUAGAAGAAAAACCAAAGUCCCAGUGGCUUCACUGGUGAAUUCUACCACACAUUCAAAGAAAAUAAUACUAGUCCUUCUUAAAGUGUUCCAUAAAAUUUCAGAGGACGAACACUUCCAAACUAAUUGUCAGCAUUACCCUGAUACCAAAACCAGUCAAGGACAUUAUAGAAAAUAAAAUUACAGGCCAGUAUCCCUGAUCCUCCACAAAAUACUAGCAAACCAAAUUUAACAACACAUUAAAAGGAUCAUACACUAUGAUCAAAUGGGAUUUAUCCCAGGGAUAUAAGGAUGGUUCAACAUAUACAAUUCAAUAAAUGUGAUAUACUAUAAGGGUAAAAAUUAUAUAGUCACCUCAAUAGAUGCAGAAAAAGUAUUUGACAAAAUUCAACACCCUUUCAUGAUAAAACCUCAAAAAAAAAAAAAGACAUAGAAGGAGCUUAACCUCAACACAAUAAAGAUCAUUUAUGAAAAGCCCACAGCUAACAUUAUACUCAAUGGUGAAAAAGCUGAAAUCUCUUCCUCUAAGAUCCAGAACAAGGCAAGGAGGUCCACUCUUACCACUUCUAUUUAGUAGGACUGGAAGUUCUAACAUGAGUAAUUAGAUAAGAAAAAGAAAUAAAAGGCAUCCAGACCUGAAAGGAAGAAUUAAAAUUGUGUGCAGAUAACAUGAUCUUAUGUAUAAAAAUCUCUAGAGAUUCUAUGAAAAAACAUUUAAAAAUAAAUUCAGGAAAGUUGCUGGAUACAAAAUCAACAUAUGAAAACAGUUGCAUUUCUAUAUACUAAUGAACUAUCUGAAAAACUAAGCAAAAAAUUUCAUUUACAAUAAGAUCAAAAAGAAUAAAGUACUCAGAAAUAAGUUUAAUCAAGGAGGUGAAAAAUCUGUACAAUGAAAACUAUAAUGCAUUGAUGCAAGAAAUUGAAGACAAAUUAAUGGGAAGAUAUCCCAAGUACAUGGAUCAGAAGAAUCAAUAUUGUCAAAAUGUCCAACUACCCAAAGCAACCUUAAGAUUAAACACAAUUUCUCUCAAAAUUCCAAUCGCAUUUUUCAUAAAAAUAGAACAAUCUUAAAAUUUGUGUGGAACCUCAAGAGAACUUGAAUAGCUAAAGCAAACUUGAGAAAGAUCAAAGUUGUAUCACACUUCCUGAUUUCAAAUUAUAUUACAAAGUUACUGUAAUCAAAACGGCAUGAUACUCUCAUAAAAACAAACUAGGCCAAUGGAACAGAAAGCCCAGAAAUAAACUCAUACAUACACUGUCAAUUAAUCUGUGACAAGAAUACACAAUGUGGAAGGGAUAGUCUUCAAUAGAUACUGUUGGGAAACCUGGAUAACCACAUGCAAAAAAAAAAAAAAAAUGAAAUUGGAUUCUUAUCUUACAUCAUACACAAACAUCAACUCAAAUGGAUUAAAGACAGGGCAGGUGUGGUGGCUCAUGCCUGUAAUCCCAGCACUUUGGGAGGCCGUGGUGGAAGGAUCACUUGAGUUAGGAGUUUGAGGACAGCUUGGGCAACAUAGUAAGACCUCGCCUCUACCAAAAAAAAUUUAAAAAUUAGCCAGGUAUGGUGGCACACGCCUGUGGUCUCAGCUACUCAGGAAAGCUGAGUUGGAAGAAUCUCAUGAGCCCAGGAGGUUGAAGCUGCAGUAAGCCGAGAUUGCACCACUGCACUCCAGCCUGAGUGACAGAAUGAGACCUUAUCUCAAUAACAACAACAACAACAACAAAGACUUAAAUAUAAGACCUGAAAUCAUAAAAUGUAAGGAGGAAACAUAGGCAUUGAUGAGCAAUGAUUUUUUUUUAAUAUGACACCAAAAACAGAGACAGCAAAAGCAAACAUAAACAAGUGGGACUAAACUUUUAGCGUAGAACAGCAAUUUUGCCCGCCACCACUUUUGCACCAUCAUUGCAAAUGUCAACAUAGUGAAAAAGGUAUAUAACUUCUUUGUAUUAUUAUGAAAAGAGUUUGGACAUUAUGGAUUCCCUGAAAAGGGUCUUGCUUCUAGAAAGGAGAAACUGGCUAUCACUACAUUGAUCAAUGAUUCACAAUGCCAGAAUAUGGAGAGAAUAAAGAGUUAGUGGAGACAAAGAAGGAGCCUAAGGGAAAGACAGGCAGAAGAUUUAGGGUGGUUUUAUUAAUGAGACCAAAGAGAAGAGAAUUGGUAGCUGCAAAGCAAGAUACUACCUCUGUGUAAACGAAGAGUUAUAAAAAGCUGCUACUACCAUCUGUUGUCAUGCCAUUUAAAUUAUAAUUAGUAUGAUAUUUCAGGAUAAAGUUUCCAGCAUUAUUUAGUUUUACAAACAGCUAAAUAUUUGAGGCAAAAGCCAUGAAACUGUUUAAAAUAUAAAAUAAUAACAUGGCAUUUUAUCUGUUACCGGCUACCCUAUAAGAAAUAGGAACUUUAAAAUCUAAGACCUUUCUCAGAUCCCAUUCAGAAUCACUAAAAUUUACAUUUAGAUUUUCAGUGGGAAAAACUACUUCCAUCCAGAAAAAAAGAUACUCUUUAUUUUCAAUAGCAGGCGAAGAAAUCUAGGUAAGUAACACAUUUCUGAAGUCACCUCUUUCCUGUAAGCCACCUGUUAGUGUCAGCUUCUUGUCCUCACCACACUGCCCCUCACUUUCUGCAGGAAGAGUUGGUCAAACUAAUAGGUGACAUCCCGCCCUGAAGUAAUUUCAGGGCCCUUGACAGGAUCCCAUGCCUGGAAGAUGCCUUUAUGACCUUUCACCGGAGAUACGAUAUUUUUGGGUCCCUAAAGAGAGAGAAGGUUUCAAAGCACACCAGACUACCAAGAGGGAAUAUCUCAUCUUAAGUCUGAUGGCUGUCCUGCAAGCAGGUUUGAAUAGGAGGGAGGAGGAGAUGGGGCUUGGAGGCCCUAUAGCCUUGAGAAAGGAGAAAAGGACGGCACAGGAGAGAAAUUUAGAAAGGACUCAUUAAAAUAAGACAUAUGAGCCUCAUUUUCCAUUUCGACAAGUGACGUAUUAAGCCUUUGUUUUAUCUUGUUAUAUGUACCCAUUUGCACUUUUCCCUUUAUCUUGAUUAUUUUAACCCGUGGGCGAAAUGGUAACUGUAAAGAGAACAACCUGGCGGAAACCAGUGGAAACUUGAUUUCUGGUUGGAGCCCAUAGGUUUCGGUUGACAAAUGCUGCUUGAGCAUACCUCUCAUUCCCAUAAUGAGGAAAACAUUUGAUUCUUCCAGGGAUGAACUGGCCCCAAACUCCCUGAGAUAAAAUGAUAAAUUAGAUUUUUAUAAAGUUUCAUAAUGCAUAAAAAUUAAAAUGAGGCUGAAAUAGGACUGACAGUGCUUUCUUUUUCAGUGAAAAGGCUGAAUCCUUCAAAACAUACUUUGACCCCAAACCAAGACGGACAAGAUCUGGGUCAUUCCAGCUAGGGCAGAAUUUGUCCAUGGCCAGAGCUUUCUAUUGUGUCAUCAGGAGCUCAGAAUUUAAAAAGAUGUCCCUGGAGAGGCUAUACACAGCAAUAAACUCAUUCUUUGCAACGUUAUUCAAUACUUGGUACUCUUAUUCAUAAGGUAGAUUCCUUGAAUGGUUUUCUUCUGUUAUUUAUGUGCAUUACCUCACUGCCUCAACUGUACCAUGAGCCCUUUGAAAGUAUUCAUCGGCCGGGUGCUGUGGCUCACACCUGUAAUCCCAGCACUUUGCGAGGCUGAGGUGGGCGGAUCACCUGAGGUAGGUUUCAUGCGCGUCCGUGUGAAGAGACCACCAAACAGGCUUUGUAUGAGCAACAAGGUGGUUUAUUUCACCUGCGUGCAGGCGGGCUGAGUCCGAAAAGAGAGUCAGCGAAAGGAGAUAAGGGUGGGGCCAUUUUAUAGGAUUUGGGUAGAUAAAGGAAAAUUACAGUCAAAGGGGGGUUGUUCUCUGGCGG